CCUACGGGUGGCAGCAGUGGGGAAUAUUGGACAAUGGGGGGAACCCUGAUCCAGCCAUGCCGCGUGUGUGAAGAAGGCCCUCGGGUUGUAAAGCACUUUCAGUGAGGAAGAACGCCUGGUGGUUAAUACCCAUCAGGAAAGACAUCACUCACAGAAGAAGCACCGGCUAACUCCGUGCCAGCAGCCGCGGUAAUACGGAGGGUGCGAGCGUUAAUCGGAAUUACUGGGCGUAAAGCGCGCGUAGGUGGCUUGAUAAGCCGGUUGUGAAAGCCCCGGGCUCAACCUGGGAACGGCAUCCGGAACUGUCAAGCUAGAGUGCAGGAGAGGAAGGUAGAAUUCCCGGUGUAGCGGUGAAAUGCGUAGAGCUCGGGAGGAAUACCAGUGGCGAAGGCGGCCUUCUGGACUGACACUGACACUGAGGUGCGAAAGCGUGGGUAGCAAACAGGAUUAGAUACCCCUGUAGUC
rnacentral:rRNA from 1 species